CAAAGGAAGCGAUUCCGGCGGGGGAUGGGCAUGCGGCGCAUUAGCUAGUCGGCGGGGUAACGGCCCACCGAGGCGACGAUGCGUAGGGGUUCUGAGAGGAAGGUCCCCCACACUGGUACUGAGACACGGACCAGACUCCUACGGGAGGCAGCAGUGAGGAAUAUUGGUCAAUGGGCGGGAGCCUGAACCAGCCAAGUCGCGUGAGGGAAGACGGUCCUACGGAUUGUAAACCUCUUUUGCCGGGGAGCAACGGGGUCCUUGCGAGGGCCCGAUGAGAGUACCCGGAGAAAAAGCAUCGGCUAACUCCGUGCCAGCAGCCGCGGUAAUACGGAGGAUGCGAGCGUUAUCCGGAUUUAUUGGGUUUAAAGGGUGCGUAGGCGGGCUGUUAAGUCAGCGGUCAAAUGUCGGGGCUCAACCCCGGCCUGCCGUUGAAACUGGCGGCCUCGAGUGGGCGAGAAGUAUGCGGAAUGCGUGGUGUAGCGGUGAAAUGCAUAGAUAUCACGCAGAACUCCGAUUGCGAAGGCAGCAUACCGGCGCCCGACUGACGCUGAGGCACGAAAGCGUGGGUAUCGAACAGGAUUAGAUACCCUGGUAGUCCACGCAGUAAACGAUGAAUGCUAGCUGUCCGGUUCUACGGGACUGG
rnacentral:rRNA from 1 species